ensembl:lncRNA novel transcript
GGGAGUAACAAAGAGGCUUUUCUACUGCAGGUUUUCCUAGAGCUCCUCUCCCUCCCUCCCCUGGCCAAAGCUACUGGUCCCUGAAUCACAUGUGCUGUACAGCAAGGAUGUCAAAGCUCUCUUCCUCAAAGGCAGGAGCAUCUCCUCAGACCCUAGUAUCCUCCUCAUUUCCUCUUUGCUUCCUUUUGUCGGGUUCCAAAAAACAGUAGAAGUGCCCUGGAUUCUGAUGAGAGAACAUUCUCAAGGGAUUGCUGACUCGGGAGGCAAACAGGCUCCAGCGAUCCUGCAGCCCACGGGCUGGUGGGGAGAUGACCCACAGGGGGCUGUUCCAAAAAGGAAGAGCAGUGGGCCUGGAAGAGUAUGAUUUGGCCUUAGUGUUGCUUCACUUUUCUGUCUUAAUUGCCCUGUGGUUUCAUCUGGUCAUGGGAGUCCACGAUGACAUGUGCCAUCCUUGUAUGAAUGGUGCUUGCAGAACCGAAGGAAGGGCCUGUACCAAUGCCUGGGGAAAAGCAGACCAAUGAAGACUUGUAAGAGCCCAGAAAAGAGGCUGGGAGAAGGUCAGGAAUGGGGUAAACGUGGCCUUGGGGCAUCUGCCUGGAGCUCCAGGUGACCAGUGGCACCCAGAACAAUUCUUGACCCUCUGCAGGUCCUCCAAAGCAUCCUCAGUAGGACCUGCAGAAGGUCAAAAAUUUUCUGCUUUCACGUUGGAUGGAGGUCAAGACUAAGUCAGCUCAACUGUAAAGAAAAUGAUGCUUUUCCCUUUGAAAACUGGUACAAGACAAGGAUGUCCUCUCUCACCACUCCUAUUCAACAUAGUAUGGGAAGUUCUGGCCAGGGCAAUCAGGCAAGAGAAAGAAAUAAAGGGUAUUCAAUUAGGAAAAAAGGAAGUCAAGUCUCUAUUUGCAGAUGACAUGAUUGUAUAUUUAGAAAUCCCCAUUGUCUCAGCCCAAAAUCUCCUUAAGCCAAUAAGCAACUUCAUCAAAAUCUUAGGAUACAAAAUCAAUGUGCAAAAAUCACACGCAUUCCUAUACAACAAUAACAGACAAACAGAGAGCCAAAUCAUGAGUGAGCUCCCAUUCACAAUUGCUACAAAGAGAAUAAAAUACCUAGGAAUCCAACUUACAAGGGAUGUGAAGGACCUCUUCAAGGAGAACUACAAACCACUACUCAACGAAAUAAAAGAGGACACAAACAAA